rnacentral:rRNA from 1 species
AGGACGAACGCUGGCGGCGUGCUUAACACAUGCAAGUCGAGCGGAAAGGCCCUUCGGGGUACUCGAGCGGCGAACGGGUGAGUAACACGUGAGCAAUCUGCCUUUAGCUCUGGGAUAGCUCCGGGAAAACCGGGAUUAAUACCGGAUAAGACCACUUUAGACAUCUGUUGUGGUGGAAAGAAUUUCGGCUAGAGAUGAGCUCGCGGCCUAUCAGCUUGUUGGUGGGGUAACGGCCCACCAAGGCGACGACGGGUAGCCGGCCUGAGAGGGCGACCGGCCACACUGGGACUGAGACACGGCCCAGACUCCUACGGGAGGCAGCAGUGGGGAAUAUUGCGCAAUGGGCGAAAGCCUGACGCAGCGACGCCGCGUGGGGGAUGAAGGCCUUCGGGUUGUAAACCCUUUCAGCAGGACGAAGCGAAAGUGACGGUACCUGCAGAAGAAGCGCCGGCUAACUACGUGCCAGCAGCCGC